UACGUAGGGACCAAGCGUUGUCCGGAAUCAUUGGGCGUAAAGAGCGUGUAGGCGGUCCGGUAAGUCCGCUGUGAAAGUCGGGGGCUCAACCCUCGAAUGCCGGUGGAUACUGUCGGGCUAGAGUGCGGAAGAGGCGAGUGGAAUUCCUGGUGUAGCGGUGAAAUGCGCAGAUAUCAGGAGGAACACCAAUUGCGAAGGCAGCUCGCUGGGACGUAACUGACGCUGAGACGCGAAAGCGUGGGGAGCAAACAGG
rnacentral:rRNA from 1 species